GCAUUCAUGGUCUAACGGGUACACAUUAUGUUUCCCAUUGAGAAUGAACUCAAUAUUAACGACCUUGAAGUUAGGAUUAUCGCCUUCCAAGCGAUAGGUAGGGGUUCGACUCCCCUUGAAUGCA
rnacentral:tRNA from 1 species